UACAGAGGUCUCAAGCGUUUGUUCGGAUUCAUUGGGCGUAAAGGGUGCGUAGGCGGCGCGGUAAGUCGGGUGUGAAAUCUCGGGGCUUAACUCCGAAACUGCAUUCGAUACUGCCGUGAUUGAGGACUGGAGAGGAGACUGGAAUUUACGGUGUAGCGGUGAAAUGCGUAGAUAUCGUAAGGAAGACCAGUGGCGAAGGCGGGGUCU
rnacentral:rRNA from 1 species